rnacentral:rRNA from 1 species
GCGCGAAAACUUUACAAUGCGGGAAACCGUGAUAAGGGAACUCCGAGUGCCCGUAAAAUCGGGCUGUCCAUCUGUUUAAAUAACAGGUGAAGAAAGGGCCGGGCAAGACCGGUGCCAGCCGCCGCGGUAAUACCGGCGGCUCGAGUGGUGGCCACUAUUACUGGGCUUAAAGCGUUCGUAGCUGGUCUGUUAAGUCUCUGGGGAAAUCUACUGGCUUAACCAAUAGGCGUUUCAGGGAUACUGGCAGACUAGGGACCGGGAGAGGUGAGGGGUACUCCAGGGGUAUGA